GUGAAUCAUCAAAUUUUUGAACGCAAAUUGCGCUUCCUAGCAUCCCGGGAAGUAUGCCUGUUUGAGGUUCAGUAUUAACAAAAAAAUCGGUUUGGUUGCAAAUUGUGACGUUUCCGGAGUUUGGGCUAUCUUAACUUUUUUGGUUAAGUGGCUUAAAAUUGACCUUUUUUGCGCAUUUUUAGACGUACAUAAUUUUUUUUUUUUUUUGUUAAUCUUUAUAGCAAAAACUUAUUGUGU
rnacentral:misc_RNA from 1 species